AUUGAACGCUGGCGGCAGGCCUAACACAUGCAAGUCGAACGAGCGGCGGACGGGUGAGUAAUGUAUGGGAAACUGCCUGAUGGAGGGGGAUAACUACUGGAAACGGUAGCUAAUACCGCAUACAAUCAGAUGUGCCCCGAUGGGAUUAGCUUGUUGGUGGGGUAACGGCUCACCAAGGCGACGAUCCCUAGCUGGUCUGAGAGGAUGACCAGCCACACUGUGACUGAGACACGGUCCAGACUCCUACGGGAGGCAGCAGUGGGGAAUAUUGCACAAUGGGCGCAAGCCUUAUGCAGCCAUGCCGCGUGUAUGAAGAAGGCCUUCGGGUUGUAAAGUACGGUCAGCGGGGAGGCGUUACCCGCAGAAGAAGCACCGGCUAACUCCGUGCCAGCAGCCGCGGUAAUAC
rnacentral:rRNA from 1 species